AUUGAACGCUGGCGGCAGGCCUAACACAUGCAAGUCGAGCGGAUGAAGGGAGCUUGCUCCUGGAUUCAGCGGCGGACGGGUGAGUAAUGCCUAGGAAUCUGCCUGGUAGUGGGGGAUAACGUCCGGAAACGGGCGCUAAUACCGCAUACGUCCUGAGGGAGAAAGUGGGGGAUCUUCGGACCUCACGCUAUCAGAUGAGCCUAGGUCGGAUUAGCUAGUUGGUGGGGUAAAGGCCUACCAAGGCGACGAUCCGUAACUGGUCUGAGAGGAUGAUCAGUCACACUGGAACUGAGACACGGUCCAGACUCCUACGGGAGGCAGCAGUGGGGAAUAUUGGACAAUGGGCAAAAGCCUGAUCCAGCCAUGCCGCGUGUGUGAAGAAGGUCUUCGGAUUGUAAAGCACUUUAAGUUGGGAGGAAGGGCAGUAAGUUAAUACCUUGCUGUUUUGACGUUACCAACAGAAUAAGCACCGGCUAACUUCGU
rnacentral:rRNA from 1 species